GACAAGGCUCCUUGCCCCUGGGUGACAAUCUCAGUUGGAGGAAGAGUCUCUUCUGUAGCUUUGCGGGGAAGGAUUAGUGAGAAGUUCAACCAUGGCUCUCUUUAGACAAAUGAUGAAAAACCUGAUUAUCUCAGCAGCACCUUCCCACCUGUUCCCAGGAGGCCAGACGUGUGAUGCCAGGAGGCACGAAUGAAGAAUGAAGACCUCACAGACCUCUUGUGACAGCCGUGCGUUCGUUCCCCACUCGGUUGCUUGGUGCCAUCAGGGCUUCAGCCUUCCGAGACGUCGCUUCUAGCAAAACAGCAAAAGUCUGAACUUCAAGUCCACUUGACAGCGCAGGAUGAAAAGACAGUUUAUUCCCCGCAAGUCCAAGAUUUAUACUGGAGUCAAGAAGAAAUAAGGGGUGAGACAGAGGCCAGGCUGGAAGAGUUUAUUCAGACACACCGUUAAAUUGUAACCUUGAUGUGAAAGUAGGUGCACUAUUUAAAACCAACUUUCACCUAGGGAAGGGUGUCAGUAGUAAUGGUUCGUGGAGCCGAUUUGGGCAGCAGUAAUGCACGUUGGAGGCAGCAAGAAAAGUGGCACGAAGUUCCGGAUCUGGAGCUGACAGGUUUCCUCCGCCCUGAGUUGUCUAAAGCUGACUUUGCAGUGUGACCUGAGCAGCAGGUGCUCUCACAGAAGGUGAGCUCUGCUGGACGCCAGCCUCGGCACGAUGGCUCUUGGAAGAUGAGAGUCUUCUUACGGUGUCACUUGGUCCUUUUGGUGGCUCAGUCACACUUCCCGCAGGAGAGGGCCAGCCUGGCUGAGCCUGUAUUUCUCCCUCCCUCAUGGAGUCCUCCUGCUCCGCUGUGGCUCCCGGAGUCCACAGACCUCUGCAUCUCCCUCCAGCAGCCCACCUCUCGUGUGCCAGGCAAUGCCUUGAUGUUAACCUUACAACCUGGUUCUAACCGAGAAGUGUUAAUAACCCCAGCUACUUACCACUCACGCACCACAAGCACUUCAGAUUCGUAGCUCAUUUCAUUUGCCCAAACCUGGAGAUGUCUGCAUAUGAUCCCCAGUUUGAGAAAGUCGGCACCGAGCAGCACAGUUUGACCUGGGUCUUAACUCAGCCCACUCUGUAACUGUGGAGAACACUACUUUUGAGAACAACCAAGAUCACCUGGUUUCAUUUCUAUGAGUUCUUUGCACAUGGAGGGAAUCAGCCCUCUGAUGUGUAUGUUACAAAUAUAUCUCCUGGUUCUUUAGGAAGACAUCUCUUCUGCCCUUAGAUAAGGGGUAGCUUUUUUCCUCUCUUGGCUGUGUGGAUAUUGUUCCCCUUGGUAUAGAAGAAGGAAUUCCUGUGUGGCAUUUGCUAGCAGGAUAUUUAGCUUUUUCAUCCAGCACCGACCUGAGUGAUGUAGCACCCUGUGCCUGUUUUCAUACAAAACACACCUUUUUCACAUGAACCAGAGAGGGAAUUCUUGGUGAUCUUCCAUGUUUUCAACACUUCAGACAAGGUUCUCAGCUGAGAUUCCGUCUUGCUUCGCUUCCUGAGGCUUAGGAUCAAUAUGGGGGCAGAGGCUGGAGAGAGUGAAGGACAUACGGCCGGAGGGUGAGGCACUGGCCAGCACACACCUGCCCAGAGCCUCACCUGUCUUGUUUUCCUCCAUGCCCCCUUAGUGGCUGGGCACAGGCCAAGGUAAAAACCCACAGGGAUGGAGAUAAGAUCUGGGAAUGCUGCACAGC